UAGAGUGUGGCUCAGUGGUAGAGCACUUGCCUAGCAUGUGCAAGGCCCUGGGUUCAACCCCAAGCACUUAAC
rnacentral:tRNA from 1 species